UUUCACACUUAGCUUCUUCAAAAAUUAAGGAAAGUAUUGUGAUAUUUUUCUACUUCCAAGCAGAGAUCCUACCUAUUCUGCUGAUUAUUUUUAGGAACAAACACUGACGCGGUAGUGGUAGAGCGUUCGCUUCGUAACCGGGAGGUCAUGAGUUCGGGUCUCGUUCUUGCCAUGGCCACGUCAAACAUAAGACGUUAUCAUAGGUAGUGAUUGCUCUUUUGCCAAACGCUCGGCAUUUAAAAGUGAGAAUCACGUGUUUUUCGGAUAUAACCUUAAAAACGGAGGACCCGUGUCGCGGCAGGCGUUGACACGAUAAAGAACCCUCACUGGAACAGCCCUGAGCACAAAGCAUAGGUCUAAUUUUGUGGUACUUCACCUACAAGUAUGGUGGCUGAUUUGUGCCACUUUACAAACAGAACGAAAAGACGACAAAAGAUAAUUAGCGACUUUUCGCCUCGAAAUAACGAAAAGACGACAGAACGAAAAGACGACAAAUAAAACCUGCAAAUUGGCGACCUAAUUUGUCGUCUUUUCGCUUGAUGAAUGACGGUGAUAUUUAGAUUUGUAGUAUCGUGUGAUAUUCAAUGAAUGACGGUGAUAUUCUACCAAAAACAAAACUAAAAAGAGUAACAAAUUAUUGUCUUCAGGAACGUUGUACGGUCACCGUGACGGUCCAUCAUUCUCAUUUGAGAUGACCAAUAAUUUUCUCCAAAAGGUGGGAAAAUAAGUUUACGAAAUGAGUGAGAUUUGUUGCAUUUAAUUUUUGGGGGUUACUUAUAAAAUACUGAAACAAAUUUGUUGAAAACGACUAAGAUUACAUCCCUUGAUUUCUAGUAAGAAUGUUAAAUUCAUUGAAGGUUUUAAUUAAAAUUCAUUCAAUACGUAAUAACAAAUGAUACCUGAUAUUUGUACAUACCACACAUAACUGCAGUAAGCAUAAACAGAGCAGUGUCACCUCUCAGGGAAAAUGCAUCAUAGUGGCGAUCAAAUGGGAGAUAAUAUUUUGGCGGACCCGACACUUGAUGGGUAAUCUUUAAUUGUUUCUUCCUGUUUCUUUAAGUUUCAAUAAAAGGACGUACUGAUUUCCUGUUAAAACAAAAACUGAGUUCUUUUCCUGAAUCCAUAUUUAUCGGUUUGGGAUAAAAAGUAUAAAAACAAUAGUUUUUUUAGCGAUAACCUUGCACAGCAAAAUGUAACGGAUGCGUCGUCACAUAAGGAAGGACUGGGUAUACUAAGUAUAAUAAAUCGGCCUUUAUAGCAGAUCAAAACGUAGAAAUACGUCAUUUAACCCAACGCCUUUUGUUCAUGGACUAAUUAUAUGGGUUUCCAGAUAUUAAUUGAAUAAAUGCAUUGACAAAAACAAAAAUUAUUUGAUAUUUGGUUUGAAUAUGCUACAGCAUUUUAGCAAGCCAAGUGUCCGAUUCGCUUCUUCUCACCUCCUCUUUGCGGAAUUAAUUGCGACUGAACUGCCAUCUAACGGAUCGAGCAAGUUAUCGCUCUUGACGAAAACAAAAUCUAACCAAUCAGACAAAAUCCCAUGACAAAGGCGACGACAUGGGCUAGACAUGAGAAUCGCCAUUACUCAAACCAAACUGUAUGUAUGACGCGAUUUGAUUGGAUGCCCUGGAGAGUCGAAGCGCAUAUUGGGUGACGUCCGUACUAUAUCUUUUCUCUGAACUUCCUCGAUAUACAUGUUGUAGCACUUGUAAGUUUAAGAUCUUUUGAGGAAAACCGGCUGAUUUUAAAAUGAUUUAUUUUAAGUUCUGUUGCAUUUUUAACCGGACACAUCCAAUUUUGAAACCUAAAAAGCGAUAAUUCAUUCAUUGAUAUUUUUAAAACUCUUGUAAGGGCCCUUACAUAAAUGGUGGUAUUAAUGCUUAUUUAUAAGUGAAUAUUCAAAUUGUUUCUGAAGUUUGUUCCAUUUUUAAAUAAAAUAUUUCAUAUAACACUUUCCGUGUGUUUCUUUGGAACUAGUCCAGAAUAUUUAAACUUUUAGCGGCCGAUGUGAUGCUUUGCGUCAAAAUUAACUCGUGUUGCUAGAUCUAUAUAGAUUUUGAAUAAUGUAUAACAAAUUUCCUACAAAGAUGUGUCAAAGUUCGUGUUUAAAGUUUUCGAUGUCGAAACGUGGCAACAUCCAAACCGUCCUCUCAUAACAAAGUUCUUAGACUAAUUCAAAUUUUUAAAAAAAAGUAUUAUAAAACCCAAAACGGAAGGGUAUGAUUUUCUUGAAUUUAAAAUUUUGUCAGGUUUCGACAUCGAAGACCUUUCAAACAAACUAGGCCUCAUAUUUUUUUACUAGUGUGGUUAGUAACUUGAUAUUCUAAAAAUUAGUGAAUUGACGGUUGAAUAAUAACAGAGCAUAAUGUUUCACAAUUGAAGAAAUUCCAGUGAUGGAUACACGAACAGAAAAUGAGCGACAUCAACUAUCAAUGGUUGCACGAACUUUGAGAUGUGGUUUAUAAGAAGCUGUAUAUAUCGACGAAAUCAAAAGAAUGAAUACAAUUAUCCAUGCAUUAAUAUCAAUAUCAUACAACAUGCACUUUCUUAAUGGAUUGCGAAAUUUAGGAAUGACCCUGAUUCACUGAUUUUCAGAAUAUCAGAAAAGCAAGUUACUAAGUACUAGUAAAAAACUAAAUCAUCCCGUGAACUAAUAUAUAUAUAUAUAUAUAAAUCAAUUUUAACUGAUUUACCUUUGUUUUUCAUAUCGGAUGUUCACCUCACAAUUUUGCGAUUAUCCGAUUGUAUUCCUCCCACGACUUUCCGCCAAAUAAAUCUGACCGACUCGCUUUCCUUUUAUAUUCACGCAUGUUGUAGGAAUUGGAUAAAAAUCGGUGUAUUAUCUUCCCUAUAGACAGUGAUUCUGAAGCAGGAAAAGACAAUGAGGUGCCACCUUCGCAAGCCAAGAGUUUUCAGUCCACACCGUUCCGUUUGCAGGGAGGGGAGUUGACCAAGAAUCCUUGAUUUGUGAAGAUGAUGGGGUGGAGGUUGUAGGGAAAACAGAAGAGAGGAAAGGUUUUUUGACAAAACAAUGGCACCGUACAAGACUUCAUUUGGUCAUAACACAUGGAUACCAAAAGUACUCGCCAAGGGAUGAUGUAGGGAAUGUUCGCGGGCGCUGCUGAAAAGGCUUCUGGCCUCAGCCAGGUGCACGUGUUACCGAGUGAUGUCGUCCCAGAUACAACAUUUAUUGCAGUCAGUCAGCAGAAUAAGAAUAUUUCAUAACAUUCACACAAGACAAAACAUGGUAAUCCCCCUACUUAUCCUUUUGUUUUUCCUUGGACGUGCUUGUUACCAAUUGUUAGUAAUAUUGGUUUUUACUACGGAUUACUCCUCUACCUGAUCACAGGUAUCUGAAUAUUUUUUUCGCCAUUCUUCUAAAACCUGACACUCAAGGAUACAAUGAUAUUCAUCAGCUAUUUGAUCCUUGUUACAGGUAUGGCAAUUUCUAUGUUUUACUUCCGUGGGAAUCCGGGUUAGAAUAUGUCCUCAGUACCCCUUGCUUGUCGUAAAAGGCGAAUAAAUGGGGCGGUCCUUCGGAUGAGACCGCAAAAACCGAGGUCCCUUGUCACAGCAGGUGUGGCACGAUAAAGAUCCCUCCUUGCUCAAAGGCCAUAAGCGCCGAGCAUAGGCCGAAAUUUUGCAGCCCUUCACUGGCAGUGGUGACGUCUCCAUAUGAGUGAAAUAUUCUCGAAAGGGACGUUAAACAAUAUUCAAUCAAUCUACCACGUUUUGGAAUGCCACACCAUCUUCCAGUCAAGACUGACCAGGCUGAAGCUCCAUGCUCCUUUAAAUGUUUGGGUAAAGUUUUUCCAUUGAAUUUUCAAGUAAACAUUUGUAAAUAAAAAACUUCCUGUUGUCUACUUAUCUUCAAGUGAUAUUCUACUUAGACUUUUUGCAUUGACCUCUUCUAUGUAGCAA